GUACACUCCUACGGGAGGCAGCAGUGGGGAAUAUUGCACAAUGGGCGCAAGCCUGAUGCAGCCAUGCCGCGUGUAUGAAGAAGGCCUUCGGGUUGUAAAGUACUUUCAGCGGGGAGGAAGGCGAUAAGGUUAAUAACCUUGUUGAUUGACGUUACCCGCAGAAGAAGCACCGGCUAACUCCGUGCCAGCAGCCGCGGUAAUACGGAGGGUGCAAGCGUUAAUCGGAAUUACUGGGCGUAAAGCGCACGCAGGCGGUCUGUCAAGUCGGAUGUGAAAUCCCCGGGCUCAACCUGGGAACUGCAUUCGAAACUGGCAGGCUAGAGUCUUGUAGAGGGGGGUAGAAUUCCAGGUGUAGCGGUGAAAUGCGUAGAGAUCUGGAGGAAUACCGGUGGCGAAGGCGGCCCCCUGGACAAAGACUGACGCUCAGGUGCGAAAGCGUGGGGAGCAAACAGGAUUAGAAACCCCUGUAGUCCCAUG
rnacentral:rRNA from 1 species